rnacentral:rRNA from 1 species
GAUGAACGCUGGCGGCGUGCUUAACACAUGCAAGUCGAACGAAGACAUCUGAGUGCUUGCACUUGGAUGGACUGAGUGGCGGACGGGUGAGUAACGCGUGGGUAACCUGCCUUAUACAGGGGGAUAACAGUUGGAAACGACUGCUAAUACCGCAUAAGCGCACGGUAUCGCAUGAUACAGUGUGAAAAAGUCCGGUGGUAUAGAAUGGACCCGCGGCUGAUUAGCUUGCUGGUGAGGUAACGGCCCACCAAGGCGACGAUCAGUAGCCGGCCUGAGAGGGUGAACGGCCACAUUGGGACUGAGACACGGCCCAAACUCCUACGGGAGGCAGCAGUGGGGAAUAUUGCACAAUGGGGGAAACCCUGAUGCAGCGACGCCGCGUGAGUGAUGAAGUAUUUCGGUAUGUAAAACUCUAUCAGCAGGGAAGAUAAUGACGGUACCUGACUAAGAAGCACCGGCUAAAUACGUGCCAGCAGCCGCCGUAA